UCCCUGAUAGCUCAGUUGGUAAAGAAUCUGCCUGCAAUGCAGGAGACCCUGGUGUGAUUCCUGGGUUGGGAA
rfam:Ovis aries breed Texel chromosome 16, whole genome shotgun sequence.